rnacentral:rRNA from 1 species
ACACUCCUGCGGGAGGCAGCAGUGGGGAAUUUUGGACAAUGGGCGAAAGCCUGAUCCAGCAAUGCCGCGUGAGUGAAGAAGGCCUUCGGGUUGUAAAGCUCUUUUGUCAGGGAAGAAACGGUGAGAGCUAAUAUCUCUUGCUAAUGACGGUACCUGAAGAAUAAGCACCGGCUAACUACGUGCCAGCAGCCGCGGUAAUACGUAGGGUGCAAGCGUUAAUCGGAAUUACUGGGCGUAAAGCGUGCGCAGGCGGUUUUGUAAGUCUGAUGUGAAAUCCCCGGGCUCAACCUGGGAAUUGCAUUGGAGACUGCAAGGCUAGAAUCUGGCAGAGGGGGGUAGAAUUCCACGUGUAGCAGUGAAAUGCGUAGAUAUGUGGAGGAACACCGAUGGCGAAGGCAGCCCCCUGGGUCAAGAUUGACGCUCAUGCACGAAAGCGUGGGGAGCAAACAGGAUUAGAUACCCGUGUAGUCCCAUGAU